GAUCAUGGUUCAGGAUGAACGCUAGCGACAGGCCUAACACAUGCAAGUCGAGGGGCAGCGAAGAGGUAGCAAUACCUUUGUCGGCGACCGGCGCACGGGUGUAGUAACACGUAUGCAAUCCACCUGUAACAGGGGGAUAACCCGGAGAAAUCCGGACUAAUACCCCAUAAUAUGGGCGCUCCGCAUGGAGAGCCCAUUAAAGAGAGCAAUUUUGGUUACAGACGAGCAUGCGCUCCAUUAG
rnacentral:rRNA from 1 species